rnacentral:rRNA from 1 species
CGCUAGUAAUCGCGAAUCAGAAUGUCGCGGUGAAUACGUUCCCGGGUCUUGUACACACCGCCCGUCACACCAUGGGAGUCGGGAAUGCCCGAAGUCAGUGACCCAACCAUAUGGAGGGAGCUGCCGAAGGCAGGUCUGAUAACUGGGGUGAAGUCGUAACAAGGUAGC